AGUUGGUCAGGUAACGGCUGACCAAGGCGACGAUGUCUAGGGGUUCUGAGAGGAAGGUCCCCCACACUGGAACUGAGACACGGUCCAGACUCCUACGGGAGGCAGCAGUGAGGAAUAUUGGACAAUGGUCGGAAGACUGAUCCAGCCAUGCCGCGUGAAGGUUACGGUCCUAUGGAUUUUAAACUUCUUUUAUGCGGGAGCAAUAAGGUGCACGUGUGCAUCGAUGAGAGUACCUCAUGAAUAAGCAUCGGCUAACUCCGUGCCAGCAGCCGCGGUAAUACGGAGGAUGCAAGCGUUAUCCGGAUUUAUUGGGUUUAAAGGGUGCGUAGGCGGAAUUAUAAGUCAGCGGUGAAAUUCACAGGCUCAACCUGUGCCGUGCCGUUGAAACUGUAACUCUAGAAUACGGAUGCUGUGGGAGGAAUGUGUAGUGUAGCGGUGAAAUGCAUAGAUAUUACACAGAACACCGAUUGCGAAGGCAUCUCACAAAGUCGUCAUUGACGCUGAGGCACGAAAGUGUGGGGAUCAAACAGGAUUAGAUACCCUGGUAGUCCACUACUGUAAACGAUGAUAACUCGCUGCCGGCGACACACUGUA
rnacentral:rRNA from 1 species